rnacentral:rRNA from 1 species
GACGAACGCUGGCGGCGUGCUUAACACAUGCAAGUCGAACGGAAAGGCCCUGCUUUUGUGGGGUGCUCGAGUGGCGAACGGAUGAGUAACACGUGAGUAACCUGCCCUUGACUUUGGGAUAACUUCAGGAAACUGGGGCUAAUACCGGAUAGGAGCUCCUGCUGCAUGGUGGGGGUUGGAAAGUUUCGGCGGUUGGGGAUGGACUCGCGGCUUAUCAGCUUGUUGGUGGGGUUGUGGCUUACCAAGGCUUUGACGGGUAGCCGGCCUGAGAGGGUGACCGGCCACAUUGGGACUGAGAUACGGCCCAGACUCCUACGGGAGGCAGCAGUGGGGAAUAUUGCACAAUGGGCGGAAGCCUGAUGCAGCAACGCCGCGUGCGGGAUGACGGCCUUCGGGUUGUAAACCGCUUUCGCCUGUGACGAAGCGUGAGUGACGGUAAUGGGUAAAGAAGCACCGGCUAACUACGUG